rnacentral:rRNA from 1 species
GGAUAACAUACCGAAAGGUAUGCUAAUACGGGAUAAUAUAUUUGAGAGGCAUCUCUUAAAUAUCAAAGGUGAGCCAGUACAGGAUGGACCCGCGUCUGAUUAGCUAGUUGGUAAGGUAACGGCUUACCAAGGCGACGAUCAGUAGCCGACCUGAGAGGGUGAUCGGCCACAUUGGAACUGAGACACGGUCCAAACUCCUACGGGAGGCAGCAGUGGGGAAUAUUGCACAACGGGCGAAAGCCUGAUGCAGCAACGCCGCGUGAGUGAUGAAGGCCUUCGGGUCGUAAAACUCUGUCCUCAAGGAAGAUAAUGACGGUACUUGAGGAGGAAGCCCCGGCUAACUACGUGCCAGCAGCCGCGGUAAUACGUAGGGGGCUAGCGUUAUCCGGAUUUACUGGGCGUAAAGGGUGCGUAGGCGGUCUUUCAAGUCAGGAGUGAAAGGCUACGGCUCAACCGUAGUAAGCUCUUGAAACUGGGAGACUUGAGUGCAGGAGAGGAGAGUGGAAUUCCUAGUGUAGCGGUGAAAUGCGUAGAUAUUAGGAGGAACACCAGUUGCGAAGGCGGCUCUCUGGACUGUAACUGACGCUGAGGCACGAAAGCGUGGGGAGCAAACAGGAUUAGAUACCCUGGUAGUCCACGCUGUAAACGAUGAGUACUAGGUGUCGGGGGUUACCCCCUUCGGUGCCGCA